GGUAGCUUCCAACUGUACUGGCUUUCACCUCACUUUCUUGUAAAUACUGAUGGUAAUCCGCAGGGAGGUGUUUCAAGUCACAAUUCAUCAAGAGGUUGCUGAAGCAGCAUGUGAAGAUAGCUGAAACCAGGCACAUUACUGUUAGAACUAAAGCUUGUAAAAUUGCCUCCCUUAUCUAAACAGGAUUAUUCUUGCUUCUCCAAGACGAAAUCCGAAUGCACCUACAGAGAAAUAUGGCUAUUAUACCAAAAUAUCAUGCUAAACAACAGUAGUCCAUCAUUAAGCUACAAAUCCCAAACGAAUUAUCUUGAGUGUUCCUCUCAAAUACCCUCUUCCACAAGAGAGAUGGAGAUAUUACCAGAAAAUAAACUUAAGUGUAAUCAGAACUUCUAGGUAUCAAUCAAUUGGAGGUAUGUCCAUUCGUACUCACUUAAUAUCGCUUGCUACUACAUAGUAUAUUUAUUUUUAAUGCACAUGUAUCUUUAGUUCAGAUUACUUAACAAAAAACAGAUUUGCAUUUGCAUGCCUUUAGGAUACAAUUCUUUUAGUAUCACCAGGCAGUCAUGUAUAAGUAUUUGCAGAAAAUGCAACAGUGAACUCCAAAUGUUCAUGUAUCAUGAAUCAAAGAAGGGAAUGUGCUCCAACCUCCACUAACAAGUCCAAGGAUCUCAUACUAGAUUGAUGAAAUUGG
rnacentral:lncRNA from 1 species